rnacentral:rRNA from 1 species
UGACACGUAGGCACCAAGCGUUGUCCGGAUUUAUUGGGCGUAAAGAGCUCGUAGGCGGUUCAGUUAGUCGGGUGUGAAAACUCUGGGCUCAACCCAGAGAGGCCACCCGAUACUGCUGUGACUAGAGUACGGUAGGGGAGUGGGGAAUUCCUGGUGUAGCGGUGAAAUGCGCAGAUAUCAGGAGGAACACCGGUGGCGAAGGCGGUCUUCUGGGGUGUAACUGACGCUGAGGCCCUAAAGCGUGGGGAGCGAACAGGAUUAGAUACCCUGGUAGUCCACGCCGUAAACGAUGGACACUAGGUAUGGGGAGUAUCGACCCUUUCCGUGCCGAAGCUAACGCAUUAAGUGUCCCGCCUGGGGAGUACGGUCGCAAGACUA